UCAUUAACAAACAGAGACAAAAAUUUCAUGCUCAAACUAAAUCCAUGGCAGGAAAUUGCAGCAAUUACAAAACCUGUAGAUAGAUGGCGCUAAGCGUCCAUAAUAGAAUUUGUUAAGAAAUACUUAGGGGCGGUUAUGUUGCACCAUUCAUAGAGAGAUUAAACUGAACAUUUCUUUUCACUUAGAAUAUUUCUACAUUCUAAAUCAACAUGAUCAGAGUUCUCCUUGUCUUGCUGCUUUGGCUUACAGGUUCUGCUGUUAAUGGAAGUGUUAAUCAAAGCCCCUCAAAUCUAAUUAAAUCCGAAAGAAACAAUGCAGAUCUUGUAUGCGAUCACAACGUACUAUCUUACGAUAUGAUCCUCUGGUACAAACAAACACUCGGCCAUGACUUUACAUUACUGGGAUAUACCUGGAAUAAGAAUUCUGUCCCAGAGGAUAAUUUGAAAGAAAAAAUCAAAUUGGACGGAGAUGGAACCAAGAAUGGUUCCUUAAAAAUCAAAGAUCUUGAAGCCAGUGACAGUGCAAUGUACUACUGCGCAGCUAGUUUACACAGUGUGAUGUGCAGUCAUGCCACAAUACAAAAAGCUCUGAGAUAAAAGCACUACUGCUGCACAAUUAACCACAGCAGCUCUUUUCCACCUGCUCAAGGGUUUAGUUGAAUUUCCUGCUAAUAUUUGUAUCCUUCUGAUUUGAGAUGCACACUGUGAUGGUAGCAGUCAUGUGGUCUAAAUGAAUACUGGAAAGAAUAUAAACUGGUCAACAGGGAUAUAAACAAUAUUCAGUUCAUAUUAUAUAUUUACAGUGAUAUUUUAAAAUUAUCUCUAUAGCAACUUAAAAACAACAAUAUUUUUAAAAUGUAAUGUGUGUUUUUUUUUAAUGUUCACAGGCACUGUAGGUGGGAGUGAUGUUGUACAAGAACCUAUUCUCUGGAAAGCAAAAAUGGUUCCUGAGAGUGGAUCUCUGAUGGUGAAGAAUUUGGAGCCGGAUUAGCACCAUAUAUUUCUGUUCAGUGAGUGAAUACACAGAAUAUCAAACUCUGGGGAGAGCUGUACAAAAAACAGGUUUCUUAUAAUUAGAGACAAGUAUUGAUCAACAGG
rnacentral:lncRNA from 1 species